CCUACGGGAGGCAGCAGUAGGGAAUUUUCGUCAAUGGGCGCAAGCCUGAACGAGCAAUGCCGCGUGAACGAGGAAGGUCUUCGGAUCGUAAAGUUCUGUUGAAGGGGAAAAAGAGCGGAGAGAGGAAAUGCUUUCUGAUUGAUAUUACCCUUCGAGGAAGUCACGGCUAACUACGUGCCAGCAGCCGCGGUAAUACGUAGGUGGCGAGCGUUAUCCGGAAUGAUUGGGCGUAAAGGGUGCGUAGGCGGCCUGCUAAGUCUGGAGUGAAAGGUACCGGCUCAACCGGUACAGGCUCUGGAAACUGGCGGGCUAGAGGUCAGGAGAGGGCGGUGGAACUCCAUGGGUAGCGGUAAAAUGCGUAGAUAUAUGGAAGAACAUCAGUGGCGAAGGCGGCCGGCUGGCCUGUUAACUGACGCUGAGGCACGAAAGCGUGGGGAGCAAAUAGGAUUAGAUACCCCUGUAGUC
rnacentral:rRNA from 1 species